rnacentral:rRNA from 1 species
AGCGAACGCUGGCGGCGUGCCUAACACAUGCAAGUCGAACGCGAAAGCCCGUUUCGGGGGUAAGUAGAGUGGCGUCCGGGUGAGUAACACGUAGGUAAUCUACCGUUCGGGUGGGAAUAACUCGCCGAAAGGCGAGCUAAUACCGCAUAAUGCAGCGGCACCUAAUGGUGAUUAGUUGUUAAAGCGGGGAUCGUAAGACCUCGCGCCUGAAGAGGAGCCUGCGGCAGAUUA